UGUAGGAUAAAGACUGCUUGCCUGAGAAGCUCCUGCCUGAGCAUCCUGCUUAAAAUUGUGAUGUUCCUAGUGGAAAAGCUGGGAGCAGAAUAAGCUAGAAAAUUGUUCAGACUCAGCUUGUCUGGUGUUGGUCAUCCCAUCAUUUACUGGACAGCUCUGAGUCUCCAACGAUUUAUCAAUUGUAGCUCAGGUUUUCCUACCCCAGUGCUGAUUCCUGUGGAGGUUUCUGCUCGGGUGAGUUAAGACUCUGUACCUGCUUGUUUGCCUCUUCAAUUUUGGAGGCAGUGGUUUGCCUUGUGACCUCACUUUUCUUACAGAUCUAAGAAGAGUUGCUGAUUUUUCAUUUUGUUCAGUUUUUUACUUGUUAGGAUGAAAGGGCACUUCCAAGCUUUUUACAUGCCAGAAUGGAAGGUGGAAGUCU
rnacentral:lncRNA from 1 species